GCCUCUGUAGCUCAGGGGUUAGAGCACUGGUCUUGUAAACCAGGGGUCGGGAGUUCGAAUCUCCCCAGGGGCU
rnacentral:tRNA from 1 species